UACGAGGGGUCCUAGCGUUGUUCGGAAUCAUUGGGCGUAAAGCGGGUGUAGGCGGACUAUUAAGUCAGAAGUGAAAGCCCUGGGCUCAACCCAGGAAGUGCUUUUGAUACUGGUAGUCUUGAGUUAAGUAGAGGAUGGUGGAAUUCCUAGUGUAGUGGUGAAAUACGUAGAUACUAGGAGGAAUAUCGGUUGCGAAGGCGGCCAUCUGGACUUUAACUGACGCUGAGACCCGAAAGCGUGGGUAGCAAACAGG
rnacentral:rRNA from 1 species